UACACUCCUACGGGAGGCAGCAGUGGGGAAUAUUGCACAAUGGGCGCAAGCCUGAUGCAGCGACGCCGCGUGGGGGAUGAAGGCCUUCGGGUUGUAAACUCCUUUCGCUAGGGACGAAGCUUUUUUGUGACGGUACCUAGAUAAGAAGCACCGGCUAACUACGUGCCAGCAGCCGCGGUAAUACGUAGGGUGCGAGCGUUGUCCGGAAUUACUGGGCGUAAAGGGCUCGUAGGUGGUUUGUCGCGUCGUCUGUGAAAUUCUGGGGCUUAACUCCGGGCGUGCAGGCGAUACGGGCAUAACUUGAGUGCUGUAGGGGUAACUGGAAUUCCUGGUGUAGCGGUGAAAUGCGCAGAUAUCAGGAGGAACACCGAUGGCGAAGGCAGGUUACUGGGCAGUUACUGACGCUGAGGAGCGAAAGCAUGGGUAGCGAACAGGAUUAGAUACCCGGGUAGUCCCAUGAU
rnacentral:rRNA from 1 species